AUUGCCCUAGUAACGGCGAGUGAAGCGGCAACAGCUCAAAUUUGAAAUCUGGCCUCACGGUCCGAAUUGUAAUUUGUAGAGGAUGUUUCUGGCGACGUGUCUUCCGAGUUCCCUGGAACGGGACGCCAUAGAGGGUGAGAGCCCCGUCCGGUCGUACACCUAGCCUCUGUGAAACUCCUUCGACGAGUCGAGUAGUUUGGGAAUGCUGCUCUAAAUGGGAGGUAUACGUCUUCUAAAGCUAAAUACCGGCCAGAGACCGAUAGCGCACAAGUAGAGUGAUCGAAAGAUGAAAAGCACUUUGAAAAGAGGGUUAAAUAGUACGUGAAAUUGCUGAAAGGGAAGCGCUUAUGACCAGACUUGGGCUCGGUGAAUCAUCCGGCGUUCUCGCCGGUGCACUUUGCCGUCCCAGGCCAGCAUCAGUUCGCGCCGGGGGAUAAAGGUUUCGGGAAUGUAGCUCCUUCGGGAGUGUUAUAGCCCGUUGCGUAAUACCCUGGCGUGGACUGAGGUCCGCGCUCUGCAAGGAUGCUGGCGUAAUGGUCAUCAGUGACCCGUCUUGAAACACGGACCAAGGAGUCGUCUUCGUAUGCGAGUGUUCGGGUGUCAAACCCCUACGCGUAAUGAAAGUGAACGUAGGAGAGAGCUUCGGCGCAUCUCCGACCGAUCCUGAUGUUCUCGGAUGGAUUUGAGUAAGAGCAUACGGGGCCGGACCCGAAAGAAGGUGAACUAUGCCUGUAUAGGGUGAAGCCAGAGGAAACUCUGGUGGAGGCUCGCAGCGGUUCUGACGUGCAAAUCGAUCGUCAAAUAUGGGCCUG
rnacentral:rRNA from 1 species